rnacentral:rRNA from 1 species
GACAUCCACGGAAGUUUUCAGAGAUGAGAAUGUGCCUUCGGGAACCGUGAGACAGGUGCUGCAUGGCUGUCGUCAGCUCGUGUUGUGAAAUGUUGGGUUAAGUCCCGCAACGAGCGCAACCCUUAUCCUUUGUUGCCAGCGGUCCGGCCGGGAACUCAAAGGAGACUGCCAGUGAUAAACUGGAGGAAGGUGGGGAUGACGUCAAGUCAUCAUGGCCCUUACGACCAGGGCUACACACGUGCUACAAUGGCGCAUACAAAGAGAAGCGACCUCGCGAGAGCAAGCGGACCUCAUAAAGUGCGUCGUAGUCCGGAUUGGAGUCUGCAACUCGACUCCAUGAAGUCGGAAUCGCUAGUAAUCGUGGAUCAGAAUGCCACGGUGAAUACGUUCCCGGGCCUUGUACACACCGCCCGUCACACCAUGGGAGUGGGUUGCAAAAGAAGUAGGUAGCUUAACCUUCGGGAGGGCGCUUACCACUUUGUGAUUCAUGACUGGGGUGAAGUCGUAACAAGGUAACCGUAGGGGAACCUGCGGUUGGAUCACCUCCUU